GGAGAGAUGGCUCAGAAAUAAAGAGCACUGACUGCUCUUCCAGAGGACCUGGAUUCAAUUUCCAGCUUCCCCA
rnacentral:tRNA from 1 species